rnacentral:lncRNA from 1 species
UCCAGCCCUGCUUUCUCCUGUGGCCCUUCCUCCUAGAGGAAGCUGAACCCGUCCACACCACACUGCCCCAAAGGCCUUGGGAAUUCACAGCUCCAGGUCCCCCGGAAAUGCAGGGGGCUCUAAGCAGAACUGGUUGGAAAAUCGCCCCUUUUCCCCCAGCAGGAGAUGGAGCCGACUCUGGGGCUCCGGGCAGACGGGGCAUGCCUGGUGCACUCCACGCUGGAGCUCUGUGACCCUGCAGGCUGCAGCGGAAACUCCCUCAGCUCCCACAGCUGGGGGCCAAGCGUCUGCCCUGGGCGGGGGGAAUUAUCUUUGGAGGAUCAGGAGUUGGACACCAGCCUGACCAACAUGGUGAAACCCGGUCUCUACUAAAAAUACAAAAAUUGCGGCUGGGCGCAGUGGCUCACACCUGUAAUCCCAGCACUUUGGGAGGCUGAGGCAGGUGGAUCACCUGAGGUCGGGAGCUCGAGACCAGCCUGACCAACAUGAAGAAACCCCGUCUCUACUAAAAAUACAAAAUUAGCUGGGUGUGGUGGCGCAUGCCUGUAAUCCCAGCUACUCGGGAGGCUGAGGCAGGAGAAUGACUUGAACCAGGGAGGCAAAGGUUGCAGUGAGCCGAGAUUGCACCACUGCACUCCAGCCUGGGUGACAAGGGCGAAACUCUGCCUCAAAAAAAAAAAAAGAAAGAAAAGAAAGAAAGAAAAAUAAAUACUCCAAGAACCAAAGGCUCUCUGAAAAACUAAAUGCAUGACAGCAGAAACAAAACCCUCAACACAGUGUUGGAGACAAAGUUGAAGAAAUUUCCCAGAAAGUAGAAGAAAAAUGAACCAGUUUAAGAGCACCAAUAACAGGAGUUUCAGAAAAUGAGAACAGGGAAAGUGGAGGGAGGAAAUCAUUAGAUAAGAAAGCAAUCCCUGACCUCAUGGAAACCAGUAACUGGACUGGAAGGGCCACCCUGGGCCUGUACCCAGCACAUGAAAAGACGAGGGACCCUUGCCAACACACGCACAGCAUUGGAGAAUUUCAAAACCGCGGGACAAACGUACUAGGAUGGAGGAAUCCGUGGUGCAAAGCCUUCAGAAUUAGCAGGAAAAUUAAUUCCAACCUAGAAUUCUAUAUCUAGCCACAGUCUAAGCCAGGCAGGAGGUAGAACAGUCCAAGGUGCCAGGUGACCCCUUUCCCUCCAGGCACAUCACUUCUACCAAGAGGAAUAAGUAAACGAGAAAGACGUAGGACCCGGGCAGCAGGGCUCCACCCAGGAACCAGAUGAGGCUGCAGGAGCGAGAUCUCCAGGCCGUGGGAGUCGCAGGCUCCUGGUGCCCGACUGCCUCCAGAGACAACAGUCUGCGGAGAGUCUGCGGCAACACAUGGUCAACUGCGGCAAGGAACACAGCCGCUUACUGUGGGAAGAGCGAUCACAGCGUGCUCUGAGGCCAGGGGCUGCACCCGACUCGGCCCCCUAACAAACCCAGGGUCAGAUGCCAGCGGAGCACGGCAGGCAGGGGACGGGCACGUGGGAGGGGAUGGAAAGAGCUGGAACCUCUACUUCCACGUGGGAAGUUGUCAGAUGGUGCCUAAAGUGGGUAAAUCUGCAGCGACACCGGCAGCUUAUUUUUGGAUAUGGGGACCAAUUCCCAACGGGGGUUAGGAGGGACCUCAAACUUCUGUUUCUCAAGAUUUAGGAACGAUAUAGCGCUUUAGACCGUGUGCACACAGACGUGUGAUAAACAUAGAAACAAGAACCUAAGUAACAAAGAGGCUGGGCCCACCGCUGCGCCCCCUGCAGCCUGGCCCAAAGACAAAAGGAUAGCUUUUGUGGGGGUUUUACCUGGGUUCCCCCCAAGCCCUCCAGAGAUGCGGGGUACACCCACCCUCCCCGCCGCCACACCAAGGGCAGCCAAAGGAACCCUACCCAAACCACCCCAGAGCCGG